UACGUAGGUGGCGAGCGUUAUCCGGAAUUAUUGGGCGUAAAGAGCGCGCAGGUGGUUGAUUAAGUCUGAUGUGAAAGCCCACGGCUUAACCGUGGAGGGUCAUUGGAAACUGGUCGACUUGAGUGCAGGAGAGGGAAGUGGAAUUCCAUGUGUAGCGGUGAAAUGCGUAGAGAUAUGGAGGAACACCAGUGGCGAAGGCGGCUUCCUGGUCUGUAACUGACACUGAGGCGCGAAAGCGUGGGGAGCAAACAGGAUUAGAUA
rnacentral:rRNA from 1 species